rnacentral:misc_RNA from 1 species
GUGAAUCAUCAAAUCUUUGAACGCAAAUUGCGCUUUCUGGUAUUCCGGGGAGUAUGCCUGUUUGAGGGUCAGUAUUAAUAAAAAAUCGGGUUAGUUACAAAUUGUGACGUUUCCGGCGUUUGGGCUAUCGUAGCAUUUUUGGUUAAGAGGCUUAAAAUUGAGCUUGUUUGUGUAUUUUUAAACGUACAUAAAUUUUUUUUAUUUGUCUAUUUUUAAUGCUAAAUUCUUAUUAGAUGAUAUCACAUGGCGUG